GAUGAAGAACGUAGCGAAAUGCGAUAAGUAAUGUGAAUUGCAGAAUUCAGUGAAUCAUCGAAUCUUUGAACGCACAUUGCGCCCUCUGGUAUUCCGGGGGGCAUGCCUGUUCGAGCGUCAUUAUAACCACUCAAGCUCUCGCUUGGUAUUGGAGUUCGCGAUCUCGCGGCUCCUAAAAUCAGUGGCGGUGCCUGUCGGCUCUACGCGUAGUAAUACUCCUCGCGAUUGAGUCCGGUAGGUUUACUUGCCAGCAACCCCCAAUUUUUACAGGUUGACCUCGGAUCAGGUAGGGAUACCCGCUGAGCUUAAGCAUAUCAAUAAGCGGAGGA
rnacentral:misc_RNA from 1 species